AGAGUUUGAUCCUGGCUCAGAGCGAACGCUGGCGGCGUGCUUAACACAUGCAAGUCGAGUGCGCGUCUGUAGCAAUACAGAUGGCGCACGGCGCACGGGUGCGUAACACGUGGGUAAUCUGCCCUUCGAAGGGGAAUAACUCGCCGAAAGGCGAGCUAAUUCCGCAUAACAUUCCUUGGACUUUGGUUUGAGGACUCAAAGGCGUAAGUCGUCGGAGGAGGAGCCCGCGCACGAUUAGCUAGUUGGUGAGGUAAUGGCUCACCAAGGCUAUGAUCGUUAGCUGGUCUGAGAGGAUGGCCAGCCACACUGGAACUGAGACACGGUCCAGACUCCUACGGGAGGCAGCAGUGGGGAAUCUUGCACAAUGGGCGAAAGCCUGAUGCAGCGACGCCGCGUGGGGGAUGAAGCUUCUCGGAGUGUAAACCCCUUUCGACCCGGACGAAUGCCCCGCAAGGGGACUGACGGUACGGGUAUAAGAAGCCCCGGCUAACUACGUGCCAGCAGCCGCGGUAAGACGUAGGGGGCCAGCGUUGCUCGGAAUUACUGGGUGUAAAGGGUUCGUAGGCGGUGUGGCAAGUCGGGAGUGAAAUCUCUGGGCUCAACCCAGAGUCUGCUUCCGAAACUGCUGUGCUUGAGUGUGGGAGAGGCGCGUGGAAUUGCAGGUGUAGCGGUGAAAUGCGUAGAUAUCUGCAGGAACACCCGUGGCGAAAGCGGCGCGCUGGACCACUACUGACGCUGAGGAACGAAAGCUAGGGGAGCAAACAGGAUUAGAUACCCUGGUAGUCCUAGCCCUAAACGAUCAGGACUUGGGGUGCCACCCGUUCGGGUGUCGUCCCGGAGCUAACGCGUUAAGUCCUGCACCUGGGGAGUACGGUCGCAAGACUGAACUCAAGGAAUUGACGGGGCCCGCACAAGCGGUGGAACAUGUGGUUCAAUUCGACGCUACGCGAGGAACCUUACCUGGGCUCGAAAUGCUUCUGACAAGC
rnacentral:rRNA from 1 species